rnacentral:rRNA from 1 species
GUGGGGAAUCUUGCGCAAUGGGCGAAAGCCUGACGCAGCCAUGCCGCGUGAAUGAUGAAGGUCUUAGGAUUGUAAAAUUCUUUCACCGGGGACGAUAAUGGCGGUACCCGGAGAAGAAGCCCCGGCUAACUUCGUGCCAGCAGCCGCGGUAAUACGAAGGGGGCUAGCGUUGCUCGGAAUUACUGGGCGUAAAGGGCGCGUAGGCGGACAGUUUAGUCAGAGGUGAAAGCCCAGGGCUCAACCUUGGAAUUGCCUUUGAUACUGGCUGUCUUGAGUACGGGAGAGGUGAGUGGAACUCCGAGUGUAGAGGUGAAAUUCGUAGAUAUUCGGAAGAACACCAGUGGCGAAGGCGACUCACUGGCCCGUUACUGACGCUGAGGCGCGAAAGCGUGGGGAGCAAACAGGAUUAGAUACCCCGGUAGUCC